UGGGGAAUAUUGCACAAUGGGCGGAAGCCUGAUGCAGCGACGCCGCGUGGGGGAUGAAGGCCUUCGGGUUGUAAACUCCUUUCGACAGGGACGAAGCUUUUGUGACGGUACCUGUAUAAGAAGCACCGGCUAACUACGUGCCAGCAGCCGCGGUAAUACGUAGGGUGCGAGCGUUGUCCGGAAUUACUGGGCGUAAAGAGCUCGUAGGUGGUUUGUCGCGUCGUCUGUGAAAUUCCGGGGCUUAACUCCGGGCGUGCAGGCGAUACGGGCUGACUUGAGUGCUGUAGGGGAGACUGGAAUUCCUGGUGUAGCGGUGAAAUGCGCAGAUAUCAGGAGGAACACCGAUGGCGAAGGCAGGUCUCUGGGCAGUAACUGACGCUGAGGAGCGAAAGCAUGGGUAGCGAACAGG
rnacentral:rRNA from 5 species